GGCGAAGCCUGACGGAGCAACGCCGCGUGAGUGAUGAAGGUCUUCGGAUCGUAAAACUCUGUUAUUAGGGAAGAACAGAUGUGUAAGUAACUAUGCACGUCUUGACGGUACCUAAUCAGAAAGCCACGGCUAACUACGUGCCAGCAGCCGCGGUAAUACGUAGGUGGCAAGCGUUAUCCGGAAUUAUUGGGCGUAAAGCGCGCGUAGGCGGUUUUUUAAGUCUGAUGUGAAAGCCCACGGCUCAACCGUGGAGGGUCAUUGGAAACUGGAAAACUUGAGUGCAGAAGAGGAAAGUGGAAUUCCAUGUGUAGCGGUGAAAUGCGCAGAGAUAUGGAGGAACACCAGUGGCGAAGGCGACUUUCUGGUCUGUAACUGACGCUGAUGUGCGAAAGCGUGGGGAUCAAACAGGAUUAGAUACCCUGGUAGUCCA
rnacentral:rRNA from 1 species